rnacentral:misc_RNA from 1 species
AUCUCCACAAAUUCGUCGGCGAUAACGGGUAAUUUUCUAUCGCAGAACGGAUGCUUGACGCAUUUUCCGACAAGGUGAGAAUACCGAGGGUCUUUGGGAUGCACGGCCACAGCAACGUCUCCGAGCAUUGUCUCGAUACGAGUCGUGGCCACUACAACCUUUUCGUUUGAAUCUUCGACCUCAUAAGCAAAGGACACCAGCACACCGAAUUCAAUCUUUUCUGUGUACCCGGGUAUGGAGAGGAGCGUUUUGCCGGUCAGCUCCACUUUGUCCACCUUGAAAUAAGGGUGACAUUCAACAUGAGUGCAGGACCAAUUGACGAGACGGUUACUCCUGUAGAUAUCUCCCGACUCAUGAAGGCGUACGAAAGCUUCGGUCACCGCGCGACAGAGUUUUGGAUCCAUCGUGAAACAAGCUCUCUCCCAGUCCGGCGAACCGCCCAAUUUCCGAAGUUGAGUAUAAAUGUGAUCACCUUUC